UCCCAGCGGCGGCCCCCGGAAGCAGGAAGGACGCGGGGUGCGAACAACGCCCGAGGGUCGCCGGCGGACCCCAAAGACCCGCGGUCUCGCAGCCCGCGGCCCUCGAUGGUUGAGGCCACUGCGGGGCUCCGGCUGCGCCCGGCCGGGCGGGAUGCGGCUCCGGGAUCCGGCCUUCUGCAACGCCCUGCGGUGCUGCAGCACAGCUCCAUAACCCUUACGGCCAGCAAGCUAAGUGAUAUUCUUACAGCUUGCUUAAAAAGAUGCUUCAAACUUGGGGCUCCUGCGUGCCUUCAAGGUGCGUGGAUUUGUGACCCGCCCCAAGGGUUCUGGAUAGGGUGCUUCUGGCAUUGAGAAACCGUAGUGUUAAGGCCUCGGAAUUUCGAAGGGCUUCAGGUGGCUCCUUUUUACCACGCUCAGGCAGCUCCAGUGGUGCUGGAAAACACCUUCCAUCAUAAAAGGAAAGGGCGGGUUCCUCAGGAAAGCCAUGUAAAAGCCAGACAUCUGUUCUCCCGUGUUCACCAAAACCCCUCAAGAGGUAAAUUCAGUUACCAUCUAAUAGUGUUUGAUCCUCCCCUAAAACUAGAUGAAGCAUUCUGGGAUAAAUCAGCCUCCUGAAGAUGUUCCUCUCACUUUACUGACAGAAGCCAGGUGCUGGGUUACACUGAGCAUCACUUGUGUGGCUGAAGUGAUGUGGGACCCGGGAGAGGAUAUAAAUGUUGAUAGCCCGGUCGGUUUACAACACAAGUUCUGGUUGCUGGCUGAAGAGAUGUCAACGUGCAGCUCCUUGCAGCACUCACUGCUCUCACACCCUGGUGCGCCCAGGUUACACUCUGUCUUUGCCUAGAGGAACCCCAGCUCUGCUUUCUUAUUAAAAAGUGAAGACAUACACAUCUGUGGAAAAAUACAUGUAAAUGCACAGAGUAAAAGGCUCAAUGAAUGUAUUGAAUCAAAGAAGAAAAUGCUGAUAUACAGGUGGAGUGUUACAGACAGUCCCUGUGAUGAUGAUGUUUCACAUAUUAAACUCUGAGCACCAGGGCUGCCUCUGGGAGAAAACAGCCUUGUGCUACAAGAGAUGUAGACCUCUGCCCUCAGAUUUUCACCAGCUUACAUCACUUCAUCUGAGAUGGAAGUCAGACAAGAGAAGAUGCUUUAACCCCAUGAGUAUGCCUCUGAGAAACCUGCAGACUCCCCAGCUCCAUGGCCAGUGGGCACACUGUGACUGGCCCUGCUGGCCACUCCCAGCCUGUUUGUCUUUCUGUAUCUGGAAACCUAUUUGUAUUCUGCAGUAUGGAGCGCAUCAACAGAUCUGCUGCUGGGUGAAAUGUGGAGAUAUGCUGUGUAAAGCUGACUCAGUAUCAUGUGACCUUCCGUGUUUGAAGUGAUGUCAGCUUUCUGGCUGCAGCUAAAUAACGUCACUAUGCCACUUCAGUGCUGGAAGGAGGACUAUGGAGAACGUCUUGCUGUUUUAAAGGGACAAUGAUUGAUAUCCAGUGUUCUCUGUCUUCUUGUUUGCUUUGGUUCCGUUUUGUUUCUCCAGGGCAUCUAAUACCAGAUUGGUAUCCCACAAAUGAAUAUAGCACACACAUUGCACAUAAAGCUGUAUUUUUCUUGUGGAUAUGGUGUUUUCUAAAGUAAACAGAUAGUUUUAAAUAAAGCACUUGAAGUCUAAAACUAGAAGACAUUUCUUGG